rnacentral:lncRNA from 1 species
CAGCAGCAGCAGCAGCAGCCAGCAGGAGGUGCUUUGAUUGAUUUCUGGUCCGUCCUCUCUCGAUGGCAGCGGCUACCUCCUCCAGUGGCACUUGUGGGGGCUUAUUCAGCUAUAGGUCAAGUUCGGAGGACCCCAAAAUUCGAGGCUCCUCGGGCCACGGCCACGGCGGCUCCCCCGGGGCCGGGUGCGUGGCCAUGUGGUUCGUAAACGGUGUGGCGUCGGCUUUCUUUGCUUCUUUAGAGCGCUGUUCUUGCAUCCGCAUAGCCACCGCCGAAGACGACGUGGAUCAGGAAAACGACGUGCCGUUGAUUCACAACGAUGGGAAUGUAAUCGUGAGGCCGCAUGAUAUUGAUGGCGGCACCAGC